GUAUUUAAAACUUUAAUUGCUUUCUUAGGGCAACAAAGAUAGAAGACAUUCAUGGACAUUCGUUUAUAUAUAAAAAUACAUAGUCCUCCAGUGAGGUUUUUACAUUCACUUUUGGUCUACGGUAGUGCACAGGGGUGUGGAAUAGAAGGUCAAGGCGUGCACAUAUUCCCGAGAGAAUCAGCAGCAACCUUGAUUUCAAAUCAAUAAUGAUCCUUCCGCAGGUUCACCUACGGAAA
rnacentral:misc_RNA from 1 species